rnacentral:rRNA from 1 species
UACGGAGGUGGCGAGCGUUGUUCGGAAUCACUGGGCGUAAAGGGCGCGUAGGCGGGCGGAGAAGUCGCGUGUGAAAGCCCCGGGCUCAACCCGGGAACGGCGCGCGAGACUCUUCGUCUUGAGUUCCGGAGAGGCGGGUGGAAUUCCUGGUGUAGCGGUGAAAUGUGUAGAGAUCAGGAGGAACACCGGUGGCGCAGGCGGCCCGCUGGACGGUGACUGACGCUGAGGCGCGAAAGCGUGGGGAGCAAACGGG